rnacentral:pre_miRNA from 1 species
AAUAAGUGUAUUUUUGCACCCUUUAUGUCUCACAUUUGAUCAUCUGUUUUAUUUUCAAAAAUAUAGAUGAUAAAACAUAAAUAAUUCUUUAUGUGUGACUAUUUUUUAAAUUUUUUUAUAGUUUUUUCAUAUAAGACGAAUGGUUAAAUGUUAGACACAGAAAUCCAUAAAUGUAAUUAUA